rnacentral:tRNA from 1 species
GCUUAGAUAGCUUACAAAUAGAGCAUGGCACUGAAGAUGCCAAGGUGACAGCUUUAUGUCUCAAAGCA